UAGUCUGGGAUGCCACUUGGAAACAGGUGCUAAUACCGGAUAAGAAAGCGGAUCGCAUGAUCAGCUUUUAAAAGGCGGCGUAAGCUGUCGCUAUGGGAUGGCCCCGCGGUACAUUAGCUAGUUGGUAAGGUAAAGGCUUACCAAGGCGAUGAUGCAUAGCCGAGUUGAGAGACUGAUCGGCCAAAUUGGGACUGAGACACGGCCCAAACUCCUACGGGAGGCAGCAGCA
rnacentral:rRNA from 1 species